rnacentral:rRNA from 1 species
UUGUAAUUUGCAGAGGAUGCUUCGGGUGCAGCCCCCGUCUAAGUGCCCUGGAACGGGCCGUCAUAGAGGGUGAGAAUCCCGUAUGGGGCGGGGUGUCUGCGUCCGUGUGAAGCUCCUUCGACGAGUCGAGUUGUUUGGGAAUGCAGCUCUAAAUGGGUGGUAAAUUUCAUCUAAAGCUAAAUACUGGCCGGAGACCGAUAGCGCACAAGUAGAGUGAUCGAAAGAUGAAAAGCACUUUGAAAAGAGAGUUAAACAGCACGUGAAAUUGUUGAAAGGGAAGCGCUUGCAACCAGACUCGCUCGCGGGGUUCAGCUGGGCUUCGGCCCGGUGUACUUCCCCGCGGGCGGGCCAGCGUCGGUUUGGGCGGCCGGUCAAAGGCCUCCGGAAUGUAGCGCCCUUCGGGGCGCCUUAUAGCCGGGGGUGCAAUGCGGCCAGCCUGGACCGAGGAACGCGCUUCGGCACGGACGCUGGCAUAAUGGUUGUAAACGACCCGUCUUGAAACACGGACCANGGAGUCUAACAUCUACGCGAGUGUUCGGGUGUCAAACCCGUACGCGCAGUGAAAGCGAACGGAGGUGGGAGCCCCCUCGUGGGGNGCACCAUCGACCGAUCCUGAUGUCUUCGGAUGGAUUUGAGUAC